AUAGCACACACACACACACACACACACACACACACACACACACACAAAGCAAAGGGCGCUUCAGGCAAAUUAUUGGCCGGCUAAAAAUAACCCUGGAUUGCUCAAUCAUAUUCUCCACAAGCUGUGAGAUAAAACGAAUGAUGAGAAAAUAGUCCACAGAUACAAAAGCCUGCUAAACCGUACAUGCACGGUUGGAUCCGUUUAAGUAUAAUUAAUCCUGGUAUGUUUGAUUUGAUUUUUUGCUUUGUGUGUGUAAACAGUGACUCUCCCCGGAGGCAGAUGCAUGCUGGGUUUGCCCUCUCACAGUCAAUGCUAUUAGCUCUCUCCGCGUCUCCUCUGAUCUGUAGGAGAAGCAAAGUUGAUGAAAAACAUCUGAGGACCGCAUUUUCUCUCGCCGCUGAGCAAUAACAUGCUCCUCCCGUCUGGCCUCGUGAGCAUCUCUGUCAGUCAUGCAAGAACCCGCUUCAGCCGUGUCUUUCCAGCAAAGACAAAGAUGCUGCACUCAUAUUACUAUGACUGGGAGAAAGUGCAACGCACAACAUGGACGCCGAGUCAAAAGGGACUUUGCUUUUGGUCUCUGUGCCCUUUAACCUGGCGUUACAUAACAUUCAUUUAAGUCUGGAACGAAUUGAACCGUCAGAUAGCGGAGAGAACGCGGAGUUCUGCCGCUGGGGAACACGAUUCAAUCCGAUUUGCAUGAGGGAUGGAAUAAAAGAUCUGUGGGAAGGAACUGCUAAUGUUUUCACAGAACACACGCGUGUGUUAAUACCUAAAGAUCCGGGGAACUCGCUAUGACAAACGCCACGUAUAACGUGAGGCAUCUGUGAAAUAUGUUUGUCUGUGUCUCUAAUGAAAGAGGAUUAUUUGUGGAAGUAUUUCUUGAGGCUGGGCUCCGUGGAAGACUGCUUUAUGUCAUUAGUAGUCAUUGCUCACAGUCGGCACACGAGCCCCAGGGCACAGCGGCACGCGUUAAUUACUUCACUAAUGACCCUUUGUGAGAGAAUCAAGCUGUGGUUGUGGAGCUGUUCCCAAAUCUCUCUCCUCCCAUCAUCCCCUCCUCUUCAUCUAGAACCUCUCCAUUGACCUGCUUCUUUCCUUCAACAGUUUUUAACCAUUUAAAGGAGACUUUUUUCUAGAAAGGUUUUCAUGAUUAGAAUGUUCAAUGUUCUCUCUUCCCAGUCUGUCAGUAACGCUCUGUUUAGUUCCUGUCUCUGUGAAGCCCCUCCUUCUGAAAAGCACAAUGUGCUCUGAUUGGUC